rnacentral:lncRNA from 1 species
UUUGGAUAUAAGUUACGGACAAAAGUGGAAAAAUGUUCAAACUUGGAAGAUUUUAUAAGUAAAGUUUUUAAUAAUAUUUCCAUGCAUGAUUUCAAUUGACUGCCUGUGAGAGUGUGGUUAUGAUAAAAUCAGAUAUUGUUCAUCGACGUCAGGUGGUAAUUCUUAUCUCGCCGCAGCAUGUAUAUUAUGAUAUCGGCCUCAGGGAGUUAAAGAUUGCGAAGUUUAUCCCUGAUAAAUGUCUUCAAUUAUUGGAUAUUUUUACACUACAUACAAAAUAUGUACGUGACUGUGUACUCGAGUUCAUGUCGAACAAAAUGAAAGUAUAAAAACUCUUGUUUGGUGUUGUUUAAAUUUAUGAGUAUGGAUUAAAUACUGAAAUGUACAUAUCAUUUUGUGCCAGUGAAUGAAAUUUCUUUUCGUCUGGAUAAGUGUGUAGCAGGGAAAAUACACCGAAUUUAAAUUGGCACGCUUCAAAACAUGACACAGCAUUUCUCGACAAGCGCGGUCAGAUCAUAAAACUUUCAGGCCUCAUAUUGUUUUUAUGCUAUGUCGAAAAAAUUCAUCCUUAUAAAACAAAGAUUGUAUUCAGAUUAUGUCUUCUUUAACAUAAAAAAUGCGAGUCCAGCAGAUUUCCACAGAAGAGCCUUGUCCACGAUUGGCUCGCAUACCAGAUGCUUAAAGAUUCACAACUUACGAUAUUGCGCAUAUUUCUUAAAAUCUACGGCCAAACCCUAAGGAAGGAGACGACUCUGUGACAUAAACAAUGCUGGACCUCUGACUCUGAGACAGUUGAGCACUAUAUUUUCAAACGGUCAAGCUUCACUACACAGAGAGAAGAGUGGAGGUCAUGGAAUUGCAGCUUUAGAAUGAGUCAGUAAAGGUUGUUUUAAUUUAUUGUGGAAAAAUUACAAUUACAGAGCCUACCAAAACUGAUACAUAUUUUGAUGAAAUUACACUGUCUGGAAGGAGUGUUUUGUAUGUGUUAGUUGUAACUAGCUUAUAUACUGAGCUCUAACAAUAUUAAGCAAUUUAGACUUUCAUGAAUUUUGUUUUUAGCUCGACUGUAUUAAUUGUGGAGAGCUGUCCUACCUAGCCCGGCGUUUACGUCCUUACACGUCUGCUCCGUUUAAGUUUUGAUGCACUUUCUUUUUAUCUCUGUAAUGACUCGAUGGAUUUGUUUCAAACUUAAAAUAGUUAUUUCACAUCAUCACUAACAUCAUAUGGUACAAAGACAUUGCUCUUACACCAAUAUUUCAUUAAUUAUUCCUCCUUUUACUUAACAUUUCGGGUUAAAGUUUUGAUGCAGAUGCACUUUCACUCAUUCUCAGUUAUUAUUAAAUGGAUUAGAGUCAAACUUGACAUAGUUGUUUGACAUCAUGACCCACAUCACAUGACACAACUCCAUAAUUCUAGAGGCAAUUUGUUAUGAAUUAUGCCCCCCUUCACUUAGAAUUUGAGGUCAAUUUUGAUGCAUUUUCACUACGUCUCUGUUAUUAACAGAGAAAGUUUGAUUCACACUUAAAAUAGUUGUUCCACAUGAUCAUUCACAUCAUACAACACAAGGUCCAUAACUCUGGCACCGAUUUUUGUAUGAAUUUAUACCCUCUUUAAAUUUGAAUUUAUGGUUAAUUUUGACUAUAUCAUUGAUUUUACAGAGCAGAUUUGAUUCAAACUUGAAAUGAUUGUUUAACAUCAUCAUUCACAUCAUUAGACAUAAGGGAUCAUUUAUCUCAAUCACCAGUUCUUCAUGAAUUUAUUUUCUCCCCUAUAAGAAUUCCAGGUUAAAGUUUUGGUGCACUUUCACUCUAUCUCAGGUACUUCUAAAUGGAUUUGAUUCAAACUUAAUAAAGUAGUUGUUCCACAUCAUCACGCAAAUCUCAUGACACUAGGUACAUCACUCUUGCAUCAUUAUUUUAUGAAUUAUGACCUUUGUUGUAGACGUUUUAGAAUUUUACUUAUGUUUUAAUAAACUUUAUCUAUCUUAUUACUUAAUAAUUUUGACACGGGCUCAAGUUAGGCAAAAAAUAGGUCCGUUUCGAGUUUCCUGUCAAAACAAAAGAGGGUAUGUAGGUAGGACUUCUUGUUUUGAUGCCUUGAAAUUCUUCGACGAUGAAGAGCUGCAAUGUAAAUAAUCAUACUGGUUAAAUAUGCCAUCAGCUAAUUUGUGAUCUGGAACAGUUGUAAGUUGUUGGCCGUUUUAUAAUGCAAAAAAAGUUUUAUCAAAGCCAAAAGUCUAUGUUUAAAUCCUUUCCGCAGCUGUAAAGUAAUUAAACGUAUUUGCGUCUGAUGAACCUUUCAGGCGUCCGUAGAAUCAAAAUUUAAAAUCUAUUACCUAAAAUUCAUCUUGAAAAUAUUUUUGAAACGUCUAGGUCUGCAGCUCUCAAAUACGGAUUUUUUUACAUUUUAGGCAUAUAUUGACACUUUCAGACAAAUAGGACUUUUUGAGUGAUUUGAUUAAGUUCCAGAAUCCUCUAUGUACCCUUGCUCCGUUACGGACCCCUUUGGGAUUUGUGUUUAUCGCAAGCUCAAAUAUGUUUUCGUUGAUGGAUCCACAUCAUUUACCCAAUGAUUUUGAAACCAUUAUGGUUUUACAGUAAUAUUAAACAUUUUGAUGAAUUAGCAUUUUGAUUUUGAAACCAUUAUGGUUUUACAGUAAUAUUAAACAUUUUGAUGAAUUAGCAUUUUGAUUUUGAUGUUACGUUUUCAAAUCAUGUAUACCUUUCUUUAAGACUUGUUGAGUUUCAGACAUCACUUAAUGGACAAUGUUUUCUUACACAAGAUAAAUAACUUAUUUAUAUAAUGCAUGAUAUGUAGCAUUAUAAUGUAAGCAGAACGUUUUGAUGACUUUCAGCACUUUAAUGACUGUGUCAUUAUGAGGACUUGAGUGUAUCCUUGCAUUUGGUCCUCGGGUUGUAUUUGGGAUGGAAUUGAUGACAGUUAAAUGAGCGUUUGUUUGUUGUUCCGCUGCGGGAAAGUAAAGAUGUGUACUGAAUUUCUUUUUUUAAAAGGGCUAACAGUGUACCAAUAUGAUUAUCUUUCCCUGUCCAAUUUGUAAAACAAUUUUGUAUAAGCUCAUUAAUUUUGUUAUAUGGACCAGGAAAAAGAAAUUGUUGGUGUACUUUUUCAGAAUUACUU